rnacentral:RNase_P_RNA from 1 species
CGAGCAGGCCAUCUUAUCGCUCUUUUCUUUGGAAGAGAGAGGAAAGUCCGGACACCAUAGAACAGCAUAGCGGGUAACACCCGCCCUUUGAAAGAAGCGGACUAGUGCAACAGAAAGCAAGUACAGUUAGGCUGUAGUGAAACCAGGUAAACUCUAUGCGGUGCAACGCCAAGUAAAUCUACAAUUAAGAGUUGUUUCGUUCAAUGUAGAAGGGUAGGCGGCUUGAAUGUAGGAGUAAUUCUACAUCUAGAUAAAUGAUAAGACUCGACAGAAUCCGGCUUAUCGGCCUGCAUUUUUU